rnacentral:rRNA from 1 species
GACGAACGCUGGCGGCGUGCCUAAUACAUGCAAGUCGAACGAACUCUGGUAUUGAUUGGUGCUUGCAUCAUGAUUUACAUUUGAGUGAGUGGCGAACUGGUGAGUAACACGUGGGAAACCUGCCCAGAAGCGGGGGAUAACACCUGGAAACAGAUGCUAAUACCGCAUAACAACUUGGACCGCAUGGUCCGAGUUUGAAAGAUGGCUUCGGCUAUCACUUUUGGAUGGUCCCGCGGCGUAUUAGCUAGAUGGUGGGGUAACGGCUCACCAUGGCAAUGAUACGUAGCCGACCUGAGAGGGUAAUCGGCCACAUUGGGACUGAGACACGGCCCAAACUCCUACGGGAGGCAGCAGUAGGGAAUCUUCCACAAUGGACGAAAGUCUGAUGGAGCAACGCCGCGUGAGUGAAGAAGGGUUUCGGCUCGUAAAACUCUGUUGUUAAAGAAGAACAUAUCUGAGAGUAACUGUUCAGGUAUUGACGGUAUUUAACCAGAAAGCCACGGCUAACUACGUGCCAGCAGCCGCGGUAAUACGUAGGUGGCAAGCGUUGUCCGGAUUUAUUGGGCGUAAAGCGAGCGCAGGCGGUUUUUUAAGUCUGAUGUGAAAGCCUUCGGCUCAACCGAAGAAGUGCAUCGGAAACUGGGAAACUUGAGUGCAGAAGAGGACAGUGGAACUCCAUGUGUAGCGGUGAAAUGCGUAGAUAUAUGGAAGAACACCAGUGGCGAAGGCGGCUGUCUGGUCUGUAACUGACGCUGAGGCUCGAAAGUAUGGGUAGCAAACAGGAUUAGAUACCCUGGUAGUCCAUACCGUAAACGAUGAAUGCUAAGUGUUGGAGGGUUUCCGCCCUUCAGUGCUGCAGCUAACGCAUUAAGCAUUCCGCCUGGGGAGUACGGCCGCAAGGCUGAAACUCAAAGGAAUUGACGGGGGCCCGCACAAGCGGUGGAGCAUGUGGUUUAAUUCGAAGCUACGCGAAGAACCUUACCAGGUCUUGACAUACUAUGCAAAUCUAAGAGAUUAGACGUUCCCUUCGGGGACAUGGAUACAGGUGGUGCAUGGUUGUCGUCAGCUCGUGUCGUGAGAUGUUGGGUUAAGUCCCGCAACGAGCGCAACCCUUAUUAUCAGUUGCCAGCAUUAAGUUGGGCACUCUGGUGAGACUGCCGGUGACAAACCGGAGGAAGGUGGGGAUGACGUCAAAUCAUCAUGCCCCUUAUGACCUGGGCUACACACGUGCUACAAUGGAUGGUACAACGAGUUGCGAACUCGCGAGAGUAAGCUAAUCUCUUAAAGCCAUUCUCAGUUCGGAUUGUAGGCUGCAACUCGCCUACAUGAAGUCGGAAUCGCUAGUAAUCGCGGAUCAGCAUGCCGCGGUGAAUACGUUCCCGGGCCUUGUACACACCGCCCGUCGCACCAUGAGAGUUUGUAACACCCAAAGUCGGUGGGGUAACCUUUUAGGAACCAGCCGCCUAAGGUGGGACAGAUGAUUAGGGUG